rnacentral:rRNA from 1 species
CCUACGGGAGGCAGCAGUGGGGAAUAUUGCACAAUGGGCGAAAGCCUGAUGCAGCAACGCCGCGUGAAGGAAGAAGGCUUUCGAGUCGUAAACUUCUGUCCAAAGGGAAGAAUAAUGACGGUACCUUUGAAGGAAGCCCCGGCUAACUACGUGCCAGCAGCCGCGGUAAUACGUAGGGGGCGAGCGUUAUCCGGAAUUACUGGGCGUAAAGAGUAUGUAGGUGGUUAAGUAAGCGUAGGGUUUAAGGCGACAGCCCAACUGUCGUAUGCCCCGCGAACUGUUUAACUUGAGUACAGGAGGGGAAGGCGGAAUUCCUAGUGUAGCGGUGAAAUGCGUAGAUAUUAGGAGGAACACCAGUGGCGAAGGCGGCCUUCUGGACUGUAACUGACACUGAGAUACGAAAGCGUGGGUAGCAAACAGGAUUAGAUACCCUAGUAGUC